CAAUAGCGUAUAUUAAAGUUGUUGCAGUUAAAAAGCUCGUAGUUGAAUUUUUGCUUGCCGCCGAUGUCGGAACUUCCGUACGUUCGGCGGCGUGCAUCCUUGGGUGGAACCUGUGUGGCAUUAGGUUGUCGUGCAGGGGAUGCUCAUCGUUUACUGUGAAAAAAUUAGAGUGUUCAAAGCAGGCUUACGCCGUUGAAUAUAUUAGCAUGGAAUAAUAAGAUAGGACCUUGGUACUAUUUUGUUGGUUUGCGCACCGAGGUAAUGAUUAACAGGGACAGUUGGGGGUAUCCGUAUUCCAUUGUCAGAGGUGAAAUUCUUGGAUUUCUGGAAGACGAACUUCUGCGAAAGCAUUUGUCAAGGAUGUUUUCAUUAA
rnacentral:rRNA from 1 species